ACAGAGCAGCCGGCGCGAAGGUCAGACUCAAUCCUGGACUCCCUGGAGGUGAACAGACAGCGUCAUUACGGCCCUGGAAUGGGACAGAGGAAACUGACUACAGCCCGGAAGAAUGAGGAAAAUGGGAGGAGGCUACUGAAGAUCUGGAAGAACUUGAAGGAGAGUCGGUGAAGCAGGAAAAGCGUUGCAGUGGGAUGGGAGUACUGCAAGAAGGUGGAAACUAGGGCAGCUGCAGAGCAGAGUACUUGGAGUUUAAGGUUUCCUGGAGUUGCUUUGAGGACUGACAAGUUCCAGGGUGUGGUCAUUGGAAUGUCGGGCUCUCUGCUACAUGAAAACCUUGAUCUGCAUAAGCAAAUGAGAUGUGGAGAGGUGGAAAUCGUGGCAUCCCCCUUUGCCCUGCGUUGGUCGUUUGGGUAAGUGGAGCACAGCAGAGUGUAGACACAGCACUUGCACCUGACGCCCACCUCACCCUGGUCCUCUGAGAGUUUUGCUCCUUUGUUAUUCCUUAAAUCUGAGAAGAGGUGAAAAGGAGGCCUAGCUGCGAACUCUAACUAUGAGA
rnacentral:lncRNA from 1 species